rnacentral:pre_miRNA from 1 species
GUAUAUAUACAUGUAUACACAUAUGUGUGUAUAUACAUGUAUACACAUAUGUGUGUAUAUACAUAUGUGUG